CGCUCUCUCGCUCUCCCUCCUCCUCCUACUCUCUGCUCUGGAGCUGCCAUGUGAUCCCGGCAAGACAGGAUGCAUUCUGCUGGCAUCCUCCAUAAGAUAAGUGUUAUGAUUAUGGUUGAUAAUUAAGACUGAGCUAACAGAUAGGAAUCCUAGUCAUUGGCCAGCAGCAUUUGUACCUAAUAUUAAGUCUCUGUGUAUUAUUUGGGGUCCUAACUUGGCAGGCAGAACUCGGGCGGCUGGCAGUAAGACUUAUCGUUACAGAAAAACAUUUAAUUGGGGCUGUCUUACAGUUUAGAGGUUUAGUCUAUUAUCUUCAUGGUGAGAAGCAUGGUGGUAUGCAGAAAGAUAUGCACUGGGGAAGGAGCUGAGAGUUUUACAUCUGGAUUCAUAGGAAUCAGGAAGAGACACUAAGCCACUAGGCCUGGCUUGAACUUCUGAGACCUCAAAGCCCACGUCUAGUGACUUACCUCCUCCAACAAGGCCUCACCUAUCCCAAUAAGGUCACUCUUCCUAUUAGUGCCACUCCCUAUGAGUCUAUGUGGGACCAUUUUUCUUUCAAACAACCACAGAGAGCUAUCCAUCAGGAAGGAAGAUUCCUAGUGAGUACCACGUUGAUUUCUCCAUGUCCUAUGACUAAUAUAUGUAGUGUCUUCAGCAAUAUUGUCUUACAUAAAGCUCUAGUGGUCAACCAAGAGCAAUGACAAUAGUUUGUAUUGUUUGGGGGCCUGUGGAACACAUUUGUCCUACAAGUUGAGGAGAUAUAUCUCAUACCAGGCACUGGUCUUUUUAUUUGCCAAUAUGUGGUUCCUGGCAUGAGCAUAGCCUUUACAUAUUAAGUUGUUCUGACAAAGUUCUGCUGAUUGGUUCUUGAUUAGACUAUGUUUUUUCUCCCCACUUGAGUUGGAUGUGCUGUCUUUGUACUAACUGUUUUUGCUGCCUGGAAAAAAUCUUGAGAAUUUGUUAAGUACUUGUCCAAAGUCCUCUCUGGAGAUUUUUUUUGCCUAUAGCAAAACUCCAAUAGAUCAAAGACAUCAACAUAGCACCUCAUACACUGAACUUAAUAGAAGAGAAAGUAGGGAAUAGUCUUGAACUUAUUUGCAUAGGAGAAGACUUCCUGAAGAGAACACUGUUAAUACAGGCCCUAAGAUCAACAAUUAAUAAAUGGGACCUCAUGAAGCUGAAAAGUUUCUGCAUGGCAAAGGAUACAUCGGAUGGACAAAGAGGCAGCCCACAGAAUAGGAAAAGAAUUUUUACCAACAAUACAUCUAAAAUAUAUAAAGAACUAAAACAUUGAUAUAGAAAAGUAAAAUAACCUAAUUUAAAAUGGAGUACAGAUCUAAACAGAAUUCUCAAAAACAUCAAAUGGCUGAAAAACAAAGAAAUGUUCAAUGUCCCUAUUAGUCAUCAGGGAAAUGUAAAUCAAAAAAAUUUUGAGAUUUCAUCUUUCACCCAUCAGAAUUGCUAAGAUCAAUUGUCUAGCCUGUGCCAGUCCCAUGCUACAGAGGCCAUCUAUUCCAGACUGAUGUCUUUGGGGCUGCGAUCGAAACCAGCCAAACAGCCCCGGGUCCAACCCUGAGUAGGGGAGUGUGGAUGAGGGAAGCCUAGCUACCCAAUGGCGUUAAGGAUGAGACAGAGACAUCUUGUCAUCUCAGGAGGGCUCUCAGUCAAUACUGGAGACUACAGUUUAUUCUGGCAUCAUCUUAAAUAACUUCCCAAAAGCAGGGGUACUGGCAGAAGACAUCUUUCAUCAUGUAUAAAGGGCUGACUAGGAAACACUUCCUUUAAUCCUAGAUGUAGUCCUAGAACUCAUGUACUGAAGACCUCAGACAUUAAAUAAGGGCACGUCCCACUAGUCCCCAGGCACAUCUCAGUAGCCCUUAGGAUGGGUGUGGGUUCACCCAGGGCCUAGGUCUAUUGUUACACAAACCAGGAGCCAUUCUCCACCAUGGCCAGACCAUCCAGAGGUAACCAGCUGACAACUAAAAGACAAUGGGAGAUUCGAGCUCCUGGAAUUGAGCUGAGGCCUAUUCCGAAAUAUUAUAUUUGGGCCCCGACAAUUAAUAAAACAAAUGACAUCUCAUUCUGGUGAGGAUAUGGAGUAAGGGGAACAGUCAUCCACUGCUGGUAAAAGUACAAACUUGUACAGCCACUAUAGAAAUCAGUGUGGUGGUUCCUUAGGGAGAUGGUAAUCAAUUUACCUCAGAUCUAGCCAUAGCACUCUUGGGCAUAUUCAUCCUACCACAAAGACACUUGCUCAACUAAUAUUGCUGCUCUAUUCAUAAUAGGCAUAAAUUGGUAACAGCCUGGAUGUCCCUCAACAGAAGAAUGGAUAAAGAAAAUGUGGUACAUUUACAUAACAAAGGAGAUGAGGAGGGACAGCUAAAAUUAAGGGUCAUUUGAGGGGAAAUAUGGAAAGCUAAUACAGUAGAAGCUUCCUAAAAUAUGUAUGCAUAUGAAGGUAAUUGAUCAAAAUGAAAUCACCAAAUAAUGUGGGAGACAGAGCUCCAAUUGGUCAUCUCUUUUCACCAAAUGAAGCUUCCAGUGCUGAAAUUGGGCUACAUCUUAUUGAGCUGUUGGCCAAAGAAGUCCCAUAGAAAUCCCCUCAAACUCUACUGUUGCCAAACAAACUGACUGCAAGGUCCCUUCCCUGAAGACAACACCUAUACAAACCAUUAAACACAUAGAAGUAGGCCUGGUGCCUACAAAGAAACUUCACUCUUAGGUUCUAGUGUUUUGGGCACAGGAAGGCCCUCUACUUGCUACCAAAGGAGAAACAUAAGCACCAACCCAGUCAUGAACCCUUUGAUCUACACACAAUCUCUGCUUGAAUAUGUGCUAGUGCAAUGAUGGCACAAAGUUUGUGGGAGUAACCAAAUAAUAGAUGUUUUUUGACUUAAGGCCAACUCCAUGAGAUGAAACUCAUACCUGAGACUGGGUAGCCCCGCCUCCUAGUAGCCCCUACAGGUGUUCCUGGCGUGGUCAAGUGAGGUCAAAGAUGACGCUGGGACAAUUCUUAAGGGACCGCGCACACGUGGAGACCCCUUCUCUCUGGCCAUGCUAGCUUGCAGCCUCUGGGCACACUCUGGCUUGCGUUUGGGCUGGUGUUUAUCUAAAUAAAGAAAUCUUAGCCUUAAGGACUAGGGAUCAUCUUUGAGCGCAGGCAGCACGCAAUAGUCAAUAAUCAACACGUGGCGCCCAACACCCACGACCCACGCAGCUCCUACGCCUGCCAGGGCUCCACGAGACUGCUUCACAUCCUGGGCCUCUGCUUUCCGGUCCAGGAGCUGCAGGAACUGUGGGAAAAUGCACGGCCGCUAAGCAGUGAGUUACGCUCUCCCUUCCCGGCUCAUUCCCGCCCAAACUGCUUCCGUGAACCCCCACGGGUUUUGCUACUCCCGGUAGCACUUUGCAAUUUGUGCCACAGCUACCUGGCAUCUGCGUAGCUGCUGGCAGAAAAACCGCGUGCCUGCCUAGCUCUGCUCGGCAGCCGGUUUGCAGCUUUUAUCCACAGAAACUGCUCACCGCCGAGUCCACGCUCCCCGGUUCCCGCUAAGCUAAGUUGUGAGCUGCUGCGCGCCACAGCCUGUCACCACCUCGGCUUCUUGCUGCAACCUUCAUUGCCCCCAGGCUCCGACCGCCAUCCGCUGGGCCAGACCCUGGAUGCACCCGCUGCCGCAUCAUCUUUUGCACAAACUUGUCAGGACUCUGAAGACACACCUAGUAGAUGGAAGCUGCAGGCAAGGUUGGAUUACUGUGAAGUUGCUUUUCUAUCCUCUCCAAAUGCCGCUCUUGGAAGUGACCAAUGCUUUCACCUCACAGUUGGCUGUGCAAGCUUAUUGUUCAUGCCACUUCCCGACUAUCAUGAUGAAGGUGGCAAAACUGGUGUCAUGAUUCACCCAAGACAUUACCAGCUGGUAAAUGACAACAGAUGAAAUGGUCCCAGUUUCUUUUUUACUCUAGUUUUGUUCUCUUGACAUCUUAAUAGGUUAUUUUGCAUGCAUAAAACAACAUACUAGGAUUAUCCUGUGAAAUGAUUAAGGUUAUUAAUAGCUUCAAAAACAUGAAGUAACAGUUUUUUAUUUCAAACUGGACUAUGUAUUAUGAUUUAGAGCUAUGAUCAAGUUUCUUCCACUAUCAUAAUUCCCAUGAUUUGAUUUUCUUUAAGGACAUAAAAAUAGUCAUGAUGUAAAACCAACCUAAUGUCCACUAUUUCAUAAAUAAGAGCAACAUAAAUAUGAAGUGGAAUAUUAUUCAGCUAUACAUACAUACAUACAUACAUACAUACAUACAUACAUACAUACGUGUCAUCAUUUCCUAAAGAAUACUCCUGGAGGCCAUUCUUCUAUUAGGCUAAGCAUAGAAUGACAGAUGAUCCUCUGAUAUAUGGAAUCUGAAAGACAAACCCAAAGAAGCAGACCCAAAGUAAAAUGGUGGUUGUUAGGAAAUGGGAAAGUGGGGAAAAUAGGGAAAUACUUAGCAAGGGCUAUAAACUUUCAGUUAGGCAGGCCAGUUAGGAUCUGCAGAUCUAACUGUUGUACAGCAUGGGCUCUACAGUUGGUACUCUUAUUACACACUUGACAUUUACUAGGGGGGUAGAGUUUGUUUUUCUUGUACUAGGGAGAAGGAGGGAUAGAGAGAACGUGUGAAGUAAUGGGUAUGUUAAUUCACUUGACUGUGCUAGUCAUUUCACGCUGUAUACAUAAAUAAAGUGUAAAUACAAACUUUUUAAUUUGCCAAUUAUAACUCAAUUAAAUGAUAUUCUUUCCCAUGCACCUUUUGGGAUUUGAUUGCCUUCUGUGGAUGAUUUAAUUUGUGACAGGUGUAAGGCUGCUUUGUGUUUCAGCAAGAAUACAAAUCUGGAGGCAAAUCAAUGUUCUUAAAUCGAAUCCUAUGUAAUUACAUCUUUUGUAGUUUGCAUUUUCAGAAUUGUAGCUGUGUGUGUGUGUGUGUGUGUGUGUGUGUGUG
rnacentral:lncRNA from 1 species